rnacentral:tRNA from 1 species
GGGUCCGUAGCUCAGCCUGGAUAGAGCGACUAGAAGCGUGAUUCUAUCGAGUCGCGGUUCUCGCAAGCCUCCUAAUCCAAGCUGGAGAAAGUAGUAGGUCGGGGGUUCGAAUCCCCUCGGGCCCG